AUCUACGGCCAUACCACCCUGAACGCGCCCAAUCUCGUCUGAUCUCGGAAGCUAAGCAGGGUCGGGCCUGGUUAGUACUUGGAUGGGAGACAAAUCAUACAAAAAUCAUUUCUCUGUCUC
rnacentral:rRNA from 1 species